rnacentral:rRNA from 1 species
CGCUGGCGGCUGCCUAAUAAUGCAAGUCGAACGCUCCUGGGGAUUUCGGUCCCGAGGGGAGUGGCGCACGGGUGAGUAGCGCGUGGGAACCUGCCCUGUUGUGGGGGAUAACCGAGGGAAACUUCGGCUAAUACCGCAUGCGCCCCGGUGAUGAGCCGGGGGAAAGAUUUAUCGCAGCAGGAGGGGCCCGCGUCGGAUUAGCUGGUUGGUGGGGUAACGGCCUACCAAGGCGAUGAUCCGUAGCUGGUCUGAGAGGAUGAUCAGCCACACUGGGACUGAGACACGGCCCAGACUCCUACGGGAGGCAGCAGUAGGGAAUAUUGGACAAUGGGCGCAAGCCUGAUCCAGCAAUGCCGCGUGAGUGAUGAAGGCCUUCGGGUUGUAAAGCUCUUUCGCCCGCGACGAUNAUGACGGUAGCGGGAGAAGAAGCCCCGGCUAACUUCGUGCCAGCAGCCGCGGUAAUACGAAGGGGGCGAGCGUUGUUCGGAUUUACUGGGCGUAAAGGGCGCGUANGCGGCGCAACAAGUCAGGCGUGAAAGCCCCGGGCUCAACCUGGGAAUGGCGCUUGGGACU